GUCCAAUUGGUCUAGUGGCAUGAUUCAUCUUUAGGGAGUCCUCCGGGACCAUAGCUUGGAUGAGGUCCCGAGUUCGAUUCUCGGAUUGGACC